rnacentral:rRNA from 1 species
AAGCGGGGGCAACCCCGUGAGUAAAGUGGCGACCGGGUGAGUAACACGUGACUAACCUACCCUCUGGCGGGGAAUAACCUCGGGAAACCGGGGCUAAUACCGCAUAACAUCCGCGGGUGCAAUUCCUGCGGAUCAAAGGAGCAAUUCGCCGGAGGAGGGGGUCGCGGCUGAUUAGCUAGUUGGCGGGGUAACGGCCCACCAAGGCUUUGAUCAGUAGCCGGCCUGAGAGGGCGCACGGCCACACUGGAACUGAAACACGGUCCAGACUCCUACGGGAGGCAGCAGUGGGGAAUUUUGCACAAUGCCCGAAAGGGUGAUGCAGCAACGCCGCGUGAGGGAUGAAGGCCUUCGGG